ACCGUCGAUCAAGGGUAACUUGUGGGUUGAGAGAUCUGAACCAUCCAUUUUAUAGAUGGGUCAUCAACAUUAUGGUAGGGGCAUGAACCAUUAUCCCCCUUUCGUAGACCAUUUUUCCAUCAAAAGAAAAUAAGUUAAAUUAAUUUUAAUUAAAUAUUGUACAUUCUAUAAAAUACUACAUCUCUACACAUAUUUUCUAUAAAAUCUAUCAAAGAUAUAUCAAAUCAAUAUCUACUUCCAUAUUAAGUCAAUAUAUGGUCAAUACAUACUCAAUCUAUAACUUGACCACAUGUCACAAUUUAAAAUUAACAAAACAUAACGCCACAGGGACCACAAAUAAAACUUUCCAUAAAAUAGAAAGUAGUAAGAGGUGGGGCG
rnacentral:lncRNA from 1 species